UACGUAGGGUGCAAGCGUUGUCCGGAAUUAUUGGGCGUAAAGAGCUCGUAGGUGGUUUGUCGCGUUGUCCGUGAAAACUCACAGCUCAACUGUGGGCGUGCGGGCGAUACGGGCAGACUGGAGUACUGCAGGGGAGACUGGAAUUCCUGGUGUAGCGGUGGAAUGCGCAGAUAUCAGGAGGAACACCGGUGGCGAAGGCGGGUCUCUGGGCAGUAACUGACGCUGAGGAGCGAAAGCGUGGGGAGCAAACAGG
rnacentral:rRNA from 1 species